rnacentral:misc_RNA from 1 species
AUAUUCAUGUAAUCAAUCAUGCGGUCCCCUUUGGUCACUGUUCUCCACCAUUCAUCUAUUUGUUUUCCUUUCUGAAGCUGCUCAUUAUUUAAAUAUUCCCUUGUUGAUGUGUUCAAUGACCAAAUACGUAAAUUUUGACAACUGCUUAUAAAAUCAAGCAAAAUGCUUUGAGGAUUAUUAGGAUCUGAACUUCGAUCUUCUCUAUGAAAUGAUAUAAUCUUUCUGGUUGUUUCUACCUUUCUAGCAUCAGAAGUUAACGCA